GCCCCUGUAGCUCAAUUGAAUAGAGCUCGGUUCCGACUAAACCGAAGAUGCGGGUUUGAGUCCCGCCGGGGGUG
rnacentral:tRNA from 1 species